rnacentral:rRNA from 1 species
UAAAGGAAUUGACGGAAAGGGCAUCACCGGGGUGUGGAGCUGCGGCUUAAUUUGACUCAACACGGGAAAAACUUACCAGGUCAGGACAUAGUGAGGAUUGACAGAUUGAGAGCUCUUUCUUGAUUCUAUGGUUGGUGGUGCAUGGCCGUUCUUAGUUGGUGGAGUGAUUUUGUCUGGUUAAUUCCGUUAACGAGCGAGACCUGGGCGUGCUAACUAGGGGCUACUACCAUUUUGGUAGUACGCUUUUCCCUUCUUAGACGGACUGUGGGCGUCUAGCCCACGGAAGCUCCAGGCAAUAACAGGUCUGAGAUGCCCUUAGAUGUUCUGGGCCGCACGCGUGCUACACUGAGUGGAUCAGCGGGUCAGGUUGCGCGAAAGUGUUUCCUAAUCUUCAAAUCCGCUCGUGAUGGGGAUUGACGGUUGCAAUUUUCCGUCAUGAACGAGGAAUACCUUGUAAGCGCGGGUCAUCAUCCCGCGCUGAAUACGUCCCUGCCCUUUGUACACACCGCCCGUCGCUCCUACCGAUUGAGUGGUCCGGUGAGGCUUUGGGAUCUGAGCGGAAAGAGCGUUUCGCUGUUUCUGUCCGGAAAACUCAGUCGAACCUUAUCAUUUAGAGGAAGGAGAAGUCGUAACAAGGUUUCC